CGCCCCUCCCCCCACAUUUCCUGGGAAAAGCGUUAGGUAUUUUCCGACGUACUUGGAAAGUGAAAACGAGCUUGUCCUACUGCACGGCUCCGUUUUCCAUGCCUUAAGGACCGGGUGCACCUGCCUUAAGGACCGGCCUCGGGGCGCUUGACCACCUUAAGAAAAUGAAGUUCACAGAAAAAUUUUAGGGCCUGGGAAAUAUGACAGUGAUUCUCAACUCUAGUCACAUUUGUUAGAGAUCUUUAAGAAAAUAGAUUCCCGGAUAGCCUUGGCUAAACCAGAAGGUUGGCUGGACUCGUUGGAUUGCCUUGGAGUUCCUGCCCUGCUCCCUUCUCCUUAGAAGGCCUCUUUGCAACGUCUUCUUGAACAUAGGAUGGGUUUUAUUAAAUUACUUGAAAAGGAUCAUCUAUGAGCCCAUGUUAGAGGCUGGAGUCAGUACAGAAUAUUCCAGGGUCCUGCCCGCUGUGAGAAGACGGUACCUGAUGGACAACGAGUUUCUCCGCUCCUGCGCUUGGUCACCUACACACGUUUCCAGCGCGCCCUCCGCUACCCAGCCCUGUCCUUUGGCCCGGCCGAUAAUGUUGGGGUAGACGAACUGGGGCUCCCGUGACCCAGCCAGGCCCGCCUUAAUCACUCCUGAGCCGUUGUCGAUCACCACUGGUAGCUGGUAGUAGUAGCUCAUGCCGCCUCCGCCUCCUAGCCUCCUAUCGCCUGGCUGCUCCGGCUGCCCUGACUGCGGGCUGCGCUAGGGAGCGAAAGUGCGUAGCGCGGGCCCUUGGGCAGCACCAGAAGGCCUACGGCCUGGAACCUCGCGUCACAGAAGCGCUGGCCUGACCACGGGGCCUGGGCCUGGCAAGCGUGCCCUGGAGAGCCCAGGCCCAUUGACCCUCCAAAGUACUGCCCCCCCCACACACACACACUGCAUCUCACAGGGACUGGGUCACUUGCCACCCCUUGGAAUCCCGGGAUACCAAUAUCAGGAAAACCCAACUUUCUUCCCCAAUGAUAUAAAUCUAACCCUUCACAAGGGGCCUUCCCCAAUACCUCGAUGAGUCAUAAAAAGUUUUCUUUUCCAAA